CGCGAAGAACCUUACCUGGGUUUGACAUGGAUCGGGAGUGCUCAGAGAUGGGUGUGCCUCUUUUGGGGUCGGUUCACAGGUGGUGCAUGGCUGUCGUCAGCUCGUGUCGUGAGAUGUUGGGUUAAGUCCCGCAACGAGCGCAACCCUUGUUCACUGUUGCCAGCACGUUAUGGUGGGGACUCAGUGGAGACCGCCGGGGUCAACUCGGAGGAAGGUGGGGAUGACGUCAAGUCAUCAUGCCCCUUAUGUCCAGGGCUUCACGCAUGCUACAAUGGCUGGUACAGAGAGUGGCGAGCCUGUGAGGGUGAGCGAAUCUCGGAAAGCCGGUCUCAGUUCGGAUUGGGGUCUGCAACUCGACCUCAUGAAGUCGGAGUCGCUAGUAAUCGCAGAUCAGCAACGCUGCGGUGAAUACGUUCCCGGGUCUUGUACACACCGA
rnacentral:rRNA from 1 species